UACGUAGGGUGCAAGCGUUGUCCGGAAUUAUUGGGCGUAAAGAGCUCGUAGGCGGUUUGUCGCGUCUGCUGUGAAAACCCGAGGCUCAACCUCGGGCCUGCAGUGGGUACGGGCAGACUAGAGUCAGGUAGGGGAGAACGGAAUUCCUGGUGUAGCGGUGAAAUGCGCAGAUAUCAGGAGGAACACCGGUGGCGAAGGCGGAUCUCUGGGCCUGAUCUGACGCUGGAGGCGCGAAAGCUAGGGGAGCGAACAGG
rnacentral:rRNA from 1 species